CUCCUCUCAGCGCCAUUUGGAACCAUGUUCACACCUCUUCAAGCAUGCAUUGAUGCUGUGUUGAGGAGAAGAACAGAGAAGGGAAGCAAAACGAAACUGAAGAGGAAGGAAGAAGCCAUCCGCAGCAAGAAGGAAGGCACCCCACCUCUCAUCACUCUGAAUCUUCGAAGCUUCUUUGUUGGUAGUGACCGCAGGCAAGAACUCUUCUCUUGCUUGAGGUGAGGUCAGCCAUUCGUUCUUGAAAGAGAGGCCAAAGCUCCAAUUUCAUACGGUUAGGGUUCUGAUUCUGAAAAGAAGUAAAAAUAGAAUUGCCAACUUCAAAAGACUUAAGGGUUAGGACAAUUAGACUAUUAUUCUUGUGGCUGUGCUUGUGAUGAGAAUAGAUAAACUAUUAUAUGUUUGAUUGAUGAUAAAUAUGGCUCUAGUAUGUGUUUGAAUGAUGGUUAGGUUAUAUGAAUUAUUAUGUUUGAUAUAGUGCUGAACAAUGGAAGUUUGAUUAUGGUUAAGUAAUUGAAAUUGUGAAAUUUAUUGCAUUUGUUUUCUUAGAGCUGUUCUGACCAUUCUAGCAACUUUAGUUAGUUAAAAUAAAAGUAAAAUUAUAGUUUUAGAUGAAUUAUAGACUUGAACAUAAGAUUUGGCAUGUGAGGUUGUUGGAAGUGUAUUAUGCAGAAUUUCUACAAUUUCUGCAUAAUUGGCAGCAAAAUAAACGCAUUUCUGGGAGCAUUCCAGAUCAUAAUUUUGGAUGAAAUUAUUUUUCUAUGAAAAUAUAAUGUGUUUUUAAUAUCUGGUAAAAAUUUCAGAACUAAUUGAUAAGUGGAUUGGGAGAAAUGAAUUUUUGAAGAAUGAUGGUUUCAGUAGAAAAUUCUGUUUCUUUACUAUAGAAGCACCAACUUCCAAUUCACUUAAUUUAUAAUUCUUAGGAGUAUUUGGGUGAAACCAAUGGCAGUCUCAAGCUUUAUGUGUCUAAAAUAUGCAAUUUAAAAUUUGUGUCAAAACUCAUUCUAACCAAUUAGUUAUGUUGCAAGAAGUGAGGGUAGCUCGCUGAAUUUUGAAAACAGCAUUCUAAAAGGCAGGGCUGUGUUCCUAAGCUCAUAAAUUUUUCAUGUGAUAUGGUAAUAAUCUGAAAUUUAGUUUUCUGGAAAUCUGGAAGAGUCUUGUUUAAUUACAUGAAUUUUGAAAGGCAAUGGGUGAAAAUUGGAUUUUUAGUGAAUUUAACAAAUUUACUGCUCGCUGCUAUUUUUUCUGCAAUGAUAGCAGAAUUUUUGAAAGAUUUGUACAAGUUUCAAUUAUGGUAGGAAUGCCCCAGAACAAAGUUUUAUUUCUAAAUCCGUGGUUUUAUAAUAACUAAGGGGAUUAAAGAAAGUAUAAUGACCAAUUAAGAAUGUCUACCUGGUAAAUUGUUAAGGGAAGUUUGAACGAUAUUAAAACUGAGGGAACCCGUAAGGGUGGUUUUAGUGCUAUUUUAGGGGAGAUUAUGUCCGAAUUUCUAUAAAAGUUCAGGGAAUUAGUUAAAUGAAAAUGCGUAAAUUGUCCCCAAGAAGGUUUAAGGUUAAUGGAUGAUGCGGAGGUAUGUAUAAUUAGGCAGUGGUGCGGAGGUAUGUAUAGUUAGGCGGUGAUGCGAAGGUAUGUUUUAUAGUGUUGGUGAUGUGGAGGCAUAAUAAAGAGAAAGAAAAUGGGAAAAUUAUGUAUGAAAGAGAUAAUUGAAACGAAUAAUAAAUUAUGAAAAGUGUAUGUUGAAUGGGCCUUGUGCCAAACUGCUACUGCGAAAGUGCCCGCCUAACGGAUAGCCUAAGAUUGCUAAUGCGGGAAUGUUCGCCUAACUGAUAGCACUGUUCCUUAAUCCUUACUGUGAUACACAUUGAAAUGUUAUUAUAAUGAGGCCUAAUUGACACGGGCAACCGUGAUGCCAAGGUGUCUAAUUGACACAGUAAAGGGACCAUAUUCGGGGUUCACUCCGAGUAACGUCGGGUUGCAGGUAGACAACUGAUGCAUGAGCUCAUGGUUUGCGCAUAUGAACUUCUUGUGAAUUAUUUACUGUCAUUUUUUUCUUGUUCAUGCUAUUUACUUGUUAUAUAUAUGUUUGUGCCUUGAGUCUCUGUGUUUGUUCUUUUUUCUGUUUCACGACAACUUAGAGAUAAAGACCCUAGGUUCCCCUUUUACCUUACUGAGAACUCUAGGUUCUCACCCUUCUUUUGUUUCUUUCUCCCCCCUCCCCAGACGGGUCCAGCAGAGGAGCUCUUUGAGUUUCGUUCUAACCGCUGAGCUAUGAGGAUCUGGCGCGCGGCGGAGUCUUCAUAUGGAGCACGCUUUGGACCGCUUUCUUGAACGAUGUUCGGAGAUCACUCCAGAGUUAGUCGCAGUGAAUCUUUCGCUCCUUUUUUAUGAUCUUAGUAUUACUUUUCCUUCGCUUUUGUAGUACUUUUAGAGGGGUAGGACGUCUUAGUAGUUUGGUUCCAGUUUAGGAAACCCGUGUGAGGGUUGGGACUGAUUUCUUCUUUUGUAUCUGUACAUAUAAUUUGAUGUGAUACUUGGCUUUGAUAGAUGACACGUAUCCUUGAACUUAA